rnacentral:rRNA from 1 species
UGGGGGCACCCUGAUCAGCCAUCCCGCGUGUGCGAUGAAGGCCUUCGGGUUGUAAAGCACUUUUGGCAGGAAAGAAACGUCGCGGGCUAAUACCCCGUGGAACUGACGGUACCUGCAGAAUAAGCACCGGCUAACUACGUGCCAGCAGCCGCGGUAAUAACGUAGGGUGCAAGCGUUAAUCGGAAUUACUGGGCGUAAAGCGUGCGCAGGCGGUUCGGAAAGAAAGAUGUGAAAUCCCAGAGCUUAACUUUGGAACUGCAUUUUUAACUACCGAGCUAG